CCCCGGAGAUCUGCUCCCCUGGCCAGGGAGAGACACUCGGCGGGAAGGAGUGAGCCGGUGAGAUGUUUCUCUCACAUCUUGCCUCAAGCGAAGUGUUUCAAAAGUCAGGCUGCAUGAAAUCAGCAGAAAGAUAAUACUAAUAGAAGAAUGGCA
rnacentral:lncRNA from 12 species